GGGGGCAGAAAAAAAGUUUGCUUUAGAUACUUAAGGACUCAGGAAAUUUACUUCCCUUGGAGGAAGUAAAUUAAGACUCAAGAACAUGCUCAAGUAAAAGAAGAAAUAUCAAAGGGCUGAAUGAAAGAAUAAAUACAAUUUGAGUACAAUCGAUGGCUUUAAAGUUAACAAUAUAUACUUAAUGACUAAAAAAAAAGUCAUAUAACUAUAUCACAAGAAUGGAGAAAAGUAUGCAGACAAGCUUAUAAUAAAGAUGGGUCCUCAUGCUACAAGAUGUCAACAGGCUUCUACCACAAUUACAGUACUGAGCACCUCCAAGUUUUGGCAAAUACUUGAUAUAACUUCAGACUACUGAGAUCUCAGAAGAAACUUGCCUAAUGGUGUUAAAGAAAUUAUGAGUCAGACUUCCUUCCAAGAAGCCUAUAUCUUGGAUAUAUUUUGGUCCCCACAAACUCUGGACUGAGAACCUCAAC
rnacentral:lncRNA from 1 species